rnacentral:rRNA from 1 species
UACAGAGGUUGCAAACGUUGUCCGGAUUUAUUGGGUGUAAAGGGCCUGUAGGUGGUUUUGUAAGUCAACGGUGAAAUGGCCCGGCUCAACCAGGUCAUUGCCUUUGAAACUGCAGGACUUGAGUACGGAAGAGGAAAGCGGAAUUCCCAGUGUAGCGGUGAAAUGCGUAGAUAUUGGGAGGAACACCGGUGGCGAAGGCGGCUUGCGGGUCCGAAACUGACACUGAGAUGCGAAAGCCAGGGGAGCAAACGGG